rnacentral:rRNA from 1 species
UGCGUAGGUGGCAAGGUAAGUUCGGUGUGAAAUCCCCGGGCUUAACCCGGAAAUGGCAUUGAAUACUAUCUUGCUCGAGGGUUGGAGGGGGACUGGAAUUCUCGGUGUAGCAGUGAAAUGCGUAGAUAUCGAGAGGAACACCAGUGGCGAAGGCGAGUCCCUGGACAACUCCUGACACUGAGGCACGAAAGCUAGGGGAGCAAACA